rnacentral:rRNA from 1 species
UACGUAGGGACCAAGCGUUGUUCGGAUUUACUGGGCGUAGAGGGCGCGUAGGCGGCGUGGUAAGUCACUUGUGAAAUCUCCGAGCUUAACUCGGAACUGCCAAGUGAUACUGCUGUGCUAGAGUGCAGAAGGGGCAACCGGAAUUCUUGGUGUAGCGGUGAAAUGCGUAGAUAUCAAGAGGAACACCUGAGGUGAAGACGGGUUGCUGGGCUGACACUGACGCUGAGGCGCGAAAGCCAGGGGAGCGAACGGG